GGCUGCGGCUCUCCAGCCCCAGAGCCGGAACACGCCGCCGAGCUAGAUUCACUUUUCCAGCUGCCUGCGAUCCAGCAAUACCCCCGUUUUAGCUCCCAUGCCCCCAAUUCAAUGGGAUCCCGCGCAGGGAAUGCUUAUUUCUCACUGUAACUUGCAAACCUGAGAGGAAAGUUAGACGCAACGUGGCUUGAGUGUGAAUCAAAACCCAGAGCAGUUUAGGGAGAAACUCUGGGGCCUAUGCGCAUAAGAAGGAAAGCUGGAAUUAAAAGCCCGUCUAGAGGAGUUUGCGCCUCCCCUCGUCCCCGCCCCCCGCUGUCUCCUCGUAAAUUACAAUGACUACAGUUCUCGGAUUGGUGAGAUUUUAACAAGCCCCUCCUUUGCAACCACAUUUCAGAGUAAAAGGAAAAAGGGGCACUUGGAAUGUGUGAGAAACGCCAUCAGAGCGGAAUCGAGAGAGUCGCACCAGAGGAUACGUUCCAGGGAAUGAGAGAAGAACAAGAUUUUGUGCAUUAUGAGGAGAACAGAUCUGACUUCAGAGAUUCAUGAAAAUAAGAUGUUUAGCUGGGCAACAUGGCCAUCAGAAUGAAGACUACGUUUCCCAACCUCCCUUGCAGGAAGUAAUGACCAUGUGACCAAGAUCUGGCCGAUGGGAUGAGAAUAGGAAUAUAUUGCAGCUUUUCCUUUCAUCUUAUCCUGCUCAUUUUAUACAGCUGCUUGGAACUAGGAUGGGAUGCUGAAGUUCUAUCUCAUAUUAUGAAUAACAAGGUCAGAGCCUAACGUUCAUGGUAUAAAAAGCUGGAAGAAGCCUGGGUCCCUGAGAACUUUUUGAGCAAUACCUUCACAUCAUUCCUGGAUUGCCUGCAUCCGCGACAUUUUUUUUAAUGUGAGAAAAAAUA